CACCUCUCAGGGUCGCAUCUGGAGAGUUUCCAGUCCUCUACCAGUCUCGGCUACAGGAGGGAGUGUCAAGCGGAGGCCUACCCAUUCCAUUCCUAGCUUGGGCAGUGGCUAGCGUGUGGAAGGCAAUCUCCUACGAGU